ACUACCCUCCACGCCAGCCAGUGAGAGGGCAAGCCACGGCCCAGCCGAAAAUCAAACCGAGCACCCGGCCGGUACCCGAACCCCUCCAGCAACAGGGAACGCCGGCA
rnacentral:sRNA from 12 species